rnacentral:rRNA from 1 species
GCAGCCGCGGUAAUACGUAGGUGGCGAGCGUUAUCCGGAUUUAUUGGGCGUAAAGCGUCCGCAGACGGUUUGUUAAGUCUAGAAUCAAAGCCCGGAGCUUAACUUCGGUUCGUUUUAGAAACUGGCAGACUUGAGUAUGGUAGAGGCAAGUGGAAUUUCUAGUGUAGCGGUAGAAUGCGUAGAUAUUAGAAGGAACACCAGUGGCGAAGGCGACUUGCUGGGCCAUUACUGACGUUCAUGGACGAAAGCGUGGGGAGCAAAUAGGAUUAGAUACCCC